rnacentral:rRNA from 1 species
CGGCACGCCUUAUACAUGCAAGUCGAACGAAGUAGCAAUACUUAGUGGCAGACGGGUGAGUAACAUGUAGGUAUCUUCCCUUUGGUGAGGAAUAACACGAGGAAACUUGUGCUAAUACCUCAUAAGUCUUUACGGAGAAAGCUUUAUGCGCCAAAGGAUGAGCCUGCACUUGAUUAGUUUGUUGGUGGGGUAAUGGCCUACCAAGACUUUGAUCUAUAGCUGAUCUGAGAGGAUGAUCAGCCACAUUGGGACUGAGACACGGCCCAAACUCCUACGGGAGGCAGCAGUAGGGAAUAUUGCACAAUGGAGGAAACUCUGAUGCAGCGAUGCCGCGUGAGUGAAGAAGGCCUUUGGGUUGUAAAGCUCUUUCGUCGGGGAAGAAAAUGACUGUACCCGAAUAAGAAGGUCCGGCUAACUUCGUGCCAGCAGCCGCGGUAAUACGAAGGGACCUAGCGUAGUUCGGAAUUACUGGGCUUAAAGAGUUCGUAGGUGGUUAAAAAAGUUGGUGGUGAAAUCCCAGAGCUUAACUCUGGAACUGCCAUCAAAACUUUUUAGCUAGAGUAUGAUAGAGGAAAGCAGAAUUUCUAGUGUAGAGGUGAAAUUCGUAGAUAUUAGAAAGAAUACCAAUUGCGAAGGCAGCUUUCUGGAUCAUUACUGACGCUGAGGAACGAAAGCAUGGGUAGCGAAGAGGAUUAGAUACCCUCGUAGUCCAUGCCGUAAACGAUGUGUGUUAGACGUUGGAAAUUUAUUUUCAGUGUCGCAGCGAAAGCAUUAAACACACCGCCUGGGGAGUACGACCGC